rnacentral:rRNA from 1 species
CCACGCUGGAAACCCUUUCCGUACCCCUCAGCCGGUACCCUCGCGGUGGCCGGCUGGGCGCCUGGGCCCCCAGGCGGGUCGGCCCCUCUGCUUGUGGCAGGGGGCGUCGACGCGGCGAGUUUCAACUCUUUUUUUACCCACUCCCAACUCCGCCUUUGUGCCUGAAGCCAUGGCUGCCCAGGCUCGUCCUGGCAGCAACACCAAAGACAACUUUCGACAACGGAUACCUUGGCUCCCGUAACGAUGAAGAACGCAGCGAAAUGCGAUACGUAGUGUGAAUUGCAGAAUUCCGUGAACCAUCGAAUCUUUGAACGCAUAUUGCGCUCGAGGCCUCGGCCAAGAGCAUGUCUGCCUCAGCGUCGGCUAUUCCCUCGCUGCCCUUGCGCCUGCACGGGCGACGGAUGUGGCCGUCUCGGUGGUCGUUGUGCACCCCCGGGUCGGCUGAGCGCANAGCGUCUNCAGCGCCGCCCCUCGCGUUGACAAACUGGGUAGCUUGCUACUGCUUGUCGACCGCCGUGGCGCUGCGAGGCGCCCAAGACUGGUGCCUACCGCACAGCUUCCUUUUGACCUGAGUUAGGCAAGACACCCGCUGAACUUAAGCAUAUCA